CCUACGGGAGGCAGCAGUGAGGAAUAUUGGUCAAUGGACGAGAGUCUGAACCAGCCAAGUAGCGUGAAGGAUGACUGCCCUAUGGGUUGUAAACUUCUUCUAUAUGGGAAUAAAACGUUCCACGUGUGGGAUUUUGUAUGUACCAUAUGAAUAAGGAUCGGCUAACUCCGUGCCAGCAGCCGCGGUAAUACGGAGGAUCCGAGCGUUAUCCGGAUUUAUUGGGUUUAAAGGGAGCGUAGGUGGAUUGUUAAGUCAGUUGUGAAAGUUUGCGGCUCAACCGUAAAAUUGCAGUUGAAACUGGCAGUCUUGAGUACAGUAGAGGUGGGCGGAAUUCGUGGUGUAGCGGUGAAAUGCUUAGAUAUCACGAAGAACUCCGAUUGCGAAGGCAGUUCACUGGACUGCAACUGACACUGAGGCUCGAAAGUGUGGGUAUCAAACAGGAUUAGAUACCCGAGUAGUC
rnacentral:rRNA from 1 species